rnacentral:rRNA from 1 species
GUAGUUAGCCGGGGCUUCCUCCUUGGCUACCGUCACUUUCUUCGUCACCAAGGACAGAGGUUUACAAUCCGAAGACCUUCUUCCCUCACGCGGCGUUGCUGGGUCAGGCUUUCGCCCAUUGCCCAAUAUUCCCCACUGCUGCCUCCCGUAGGAGUCUGGACCGUGUCUCAGUUCCAGUGUGGCCGAUCAGCCUCUCAGCUCGGCUACCCAUCGUUGGCUAGGUGGGCCGUUACCCCGCCUACUACCUAAUGGGACGCGAACCCCUCCUUCUGCGGAUUGCUCCUUUGAUUAUUAAAAGAUGCCUUUCAAUAAUGUUAUGCGGUAUUAAUCUCCCUUUCGGGAGGCUAUUCCCCUCUAUGAGGCAGGUUGCCCACGUGUUACUCACCCGUCCGCCGCUAGAAAAGCUCCGAAGAACUUUUCUCGCUCGACUUGCAUGUGUUAAGCACGCCGCCAGCGUUCAUCCUGAGCCAUGAUCAAACUCUGA